AUCGCUUCUCGGCCUUUUGGCUAAGAUCAAGUGUAGUAUUUGUUCUUAUCAGUUUAAAUAUAACAAAAUUAGGUUAUGUUCUGAGGUUUCCCAAACUAGAGGAAUAUUAUCACAGCAGCGUGAAUUUAGCAAGCAGAAGGACAGUGUAUUCGUGUUUUCGUCGGGCCCAGUAGGUCUGCAGAACCCACCGCAGCCCCAGUAAAA
rnacentral:snRNA from 1 species